rnacentral:rRNA from 1 species
GAUGAACGCUGGCGGCGUGCUUAACACAUGCAAGUCGAAGGGUGAAGCAGCGCUUGCACUGUGGUUCAGUGGCGAACGGGUAAGUAACACGUGAGCAAACGGCCCCUGACCCUGGGAUAGGCGCUGGAAACGGCGUCUCAUACUAGUUAUGAGCAGCGACCGCAUGGUGCGCAGCUGGAAAGAUUGUUCGGUGUGGGAUGGGCUCACGGCCUAGCCGCUUGUUGGUGAGGGAAUGGCUCACGAAGGCGUCGACGGGUAGCCGGCCUGAGAGGGUGACCGGCCACACUGGGCCAGAGACACGGCCCGGACUCCUACGGGAGGCAGCAGUGGGGAAGAUUGCACAAUGGGCGAAAGCCUGAUGCAGCAACGACGCGUGAGGGAUGACGGCCUUCGUGUUGUAAACCUCUUUUAUCAGGGAAGAAGCGAAAGUGACGGUACCUGCAGAAAAAGCGCCGGCUAACUACGUG